rnacentral:rRNA from 1 species
GAUCAUGGCUCAGGAUGAACGCUAGCGACAGGCCUAACACAUGCAAGUCGAACGAGCGAGAGAGAGCUUGCUUUCUCGAGCGAGUGGCGAACGGGUGAGUAACGCGUGAGGAACCUGCCUCAAAGAGGGGGACAACAGUUGGAAACGACUGCUAAUACCGCAUAAGCCCACGGCUCGGCAUCGAGCAGAGGGAAAAGGAGCAAUCCGCUUUGAGAUGGCCUCGCGUCCG